AACGAACGCUGGCGGCAUGCCUAACACAUGCAAGUCGAACGAGACCUUCGGGUCUAGUGUCGCACGGGUGCGUAACGCGUGGGAACCUGCCCUUAGGUUCGGAAUAACUCCCCGAAAGGGGUGCUAAUACCGGACAAUGUCUUCGGACCAAAGAUUUAUCGCCUUUGGUUGGGCCCGCGUUGGAUUAGCUAGUUGGUAGGGUAAAAGCCUACCAAGGCGACGAUCCACAGCUGGUCUGAGAGGAUGAUCAGCCACACUGGGACUGAGACACGGCCCAGACUCCUACGGGAGGCAGCAGUGGGGAAUAGUGGACAGUGGGCGAAAGCCUGAUCCAGCAAUGCCGCGUGAGUGAUGAAGGCCUUAGGGUUGUAAAGCUCUUUUACCCGGGAUGAUAAUGACAGUACCGGGAGAAUAAGCUCCGGCUAACUCCGUG
rnacentral:rRNA from 1 species